rnacentral:rRNA from 1 species
UGAGGAAUAUUGCACAAUGGGCGCAAGCCUGAUGCAGCCAUGCCGCGUGUAUGAAGAAGGCCUUCGGGUUGUAAAGUACUUUCAGCGAGGAGGAAGGCGUUGUAGUUAAUAGCUGCAGCGAUUGACGUUACUCGCAGAAGAAGCACCGACUAACUCCGUGCCAGCAGCCGCGGUAAUACGGAGGGUGCAAGCGUUAAUCGGAAUUACUGGGCGUAAAGCGCACGCAGGCGGUCUGUCAAGUCGGAUGUGA